GAGGAAAGUCCGGGCUCUAUUUAUAAAUAAAAUGUUAUAUAAAAUGUAAUAUAGGAAACUAUGAGGAUAGUGCCACAGAAAUAUACCGCUUUUUCCUAAAGUAAGGGUGCAAUGGUUCGUUAAGAGCGUACCAGAAAUGUUUUUAAGAUAUUUGCUAGGUAAACCCCAUUUUAGAGCAAAGUAAUCAAAUUAGAUUAUGUGCUAAAAUGUUAUAAUUCUAGCCUAAUGACACACUGAUUAUAUUUUAUACUGCUUUAAAGUUAAAUAGAUACUUAAGAUUAACGAUUACCCUUCUAUGAUUCGUAGUUCAUUUAUAUGAAUUUACUAUUUUUUGAAGAACAAAACCCGGCUUAU
rnacentral:RNase_P_RNA from 1 species